GUGUGUGUUUGUAUAGUGUGUAUAUAAUGAAUGCAGUGUGUGUGUGUUUGUAUAGUGUGUAUAUAAUGAAUGCAGUGUGUGUGUGUGUGUGUUUGUAUAGUGUGUAUGUAUAAUGAAUGCAUGUGUGUGUUUUGUAUAGUGUGUGUGUAUAUACGAAUGCAGUGUGUGUGUGUUUGUAUGCGUGUGUGUAUAUAAUGAAUGCAGUGUGUGUGUUUGUAUAGUGUGUGUAUAUAAUGAAUGCAGUGUGUGUGUGUGUGUUUUGUAUAGUGUGUAUAUAAUGAAUGCAGUGUGUGUGUGGUGUUUGUAUAGUGUGUAUAUAAUGAAUGCAGUGUGUGUGUGUUUGUAUAGUGUGUAUAUAAUGAAUGCAGUGUGUGUGUGUGUUUGUAUAGUGUAUAUAAAUGAAUGCAGUAGGUAGUUUGCAUAAAGUGCGUAUAUACGAAUGCAGUGUGUGUGUGUGUGUUGUAUAGUGUGUAUAUAAUGAAUGCAGUGUGUGUGUGUUUGUAUAGUGUGUAUGGUAAUGAAUGCAGUGUGUGUGUUUGUAUAGUGUGUAUAUAAUGAAUGCAGUGUGUGUGUGUGUUUGUAUAGUGUGUGUAUAUAAUGAAUGCAGGUGGUGUGUGUGUGUGUUUGUAUAGUGUGUAUAUAAUGAAUGCAGGUGUGUGUGUUUGUAUAGUGUGUAUAUAAUGAAUGGUGUGUGUGUGUUUGUAUAGUGUGUAUAUAAUGAAUGCAGUGUGUGUGUUUGUAUAGUGUGUAUAUAAUGAAUGCAGUGUGUGUGUGUGUGUUUGUGUAUAUAAUGAAUGCAGUGUGUGUGUGUGUUUGUAUAGUGUGUAUAUAAUGAAUGCAGUGUGUGUGUGUUUGUAUAGUGUGUAUAUAAUGAAUGCAGUGUGUGUGUUUGUAUAGUUUGUGUGUGUUUGUGAAGGGAUGUAAUUUGUGUAAAAUGGGCAGGAG